UACGGGGGGAGCAAGCGUUGUUCGGAUUUACUGGGCGUAAAGGGCGCGUAGGCGGUCGUGACAAGUCACUUGUGAAAUCUCCGGGCUUAACUCGGAACGGUCAAGUGAUACUGUCGGACUAGAGUACAGAAGGGGCAACUGGAAUUCUCGGUGUAGCGGUGAAAUGCGUAGAUAUCGAGAGGAACACCUGCGGCGAAGGCGGGUUGCUGGGCCGAUACUGACGCUGAGGAGCGAAAGCGUGGGGAGCGAACAGG
rnacentral:rRNA from 1 species